UACGAAGGGGGCUAGCGUUGUUCGGAAUUAUUGGGCGUAAAGCGCACGUAGGCGGCAUUGCAAGUCGGAUGUGAAAUCUUAUGGCUUAACCAUAAAAGUGCAUCCGAAACUGCAGUGCUUGAGUACUUAAGAGGAUCGCGGAAUUCCCGGUGUAGAGGUGAAAUUCGUAGAUAUCGGGAGGAACACCAGUGGCGAAGGCGGCGAUCUGGGAAGAUACUGACGCUGAGGUGCGAAAGCGUGGGGAGCAAACAGG
rnacentral:rRNA from 1 species